rnacentral:rRNA from 1 species
ACCUGGUCUUGACAUCCACGGAAGUUUUCAGAGAUGAGAAUGUGCCUUCGGGAACCGUGAGACAGGUGCUGCAUGGCUGUCGUCAGCUCGUGUUGUGAAAUGUUGGGUUAAGUCCCGCAACGAGCGCAACCCUUAUCCUUUGUUGCCAGCGGUCCGGCCGGGAACUCAAAGGAGACUGCCAGUGAUAAACUGGAGGAAGGUGGGGAUGACGUCAAGUCAUCAUGGCCCUUACGACCAGGGCUACACACGUGCUACAAUGGCGCAUACAAAGAGAAGCGACCUCGCGAGAGCAAGCGGACCUCAUAAAGUGCGUCGUAGUCCGGAUUGGAGUCUGCAACUCGACUCCAUGAAGUCGGAAUCGCUAGUAAUCGUGGAUCAGAAUGCCACGGUGAAUACGUUCCCGGGCCUU